rnacentral:rRNA from 1 species
AGUGAACGCUGGCGGUAGGCCUAACACAUGCAAGUCGAACGGCAGCACAGUAAGAGCUUGCUCUUACGGGUGGCGAGUGGCGGACGGGUGAGGAAUACAUCGGAAUCUACUUUUUCGUGGGGGAUAACGUAGGGAAACUUACGCUAAUACCGCAUACGACCUACGGUUGAAAGCAGUGGAUCUUCGGACCUUGCGCGAUUGAAUGAGCCGAUGUCGGAUUAGAGAGUUGGCGGGGGAAAGGCCCACCAAGGCGACGAUCCGUAGCUGGUCUGAGAGGAUGAUCAGCCACACUGGAACUGGAACACGGUCCAGACUCCUACGGGAGGCAGCAGUGGGGAAUAUUGGACAAUGGGCGCAAGCCUGAUCCAGCCAUACCGCGUGGGUGACGAAGGCCUUCGGGUUGUAAAGCCCUUUUGUUGGGAAAGAAAAGCAGCAGGUUAAUACCCCGCUGUUCUGACGGUACCCAAAGAAUAAGCACCGGCUAACUUCGUG